rnacentral:rRNA from 1 species
UACAGAGGGGGCAAGCGUUGUUCGGAAUUACUGGGCGUAAAGGGCGCGUAGGCGGCCUGCUAAGUCGAACGUGAAAUCCCCGGGCUCAACCCGGGAACUGCGUUCGAGACUGGUGGGCUUGAAUUCGGGAGAGGGAUGCGGAAUUCCAGGUGUAGCGGUGAAAUGCGUAGAUAUCUGGAGGAACACCGGUGGCGAAGGCGGCAUCCUGGACCGACAUUGACGCUGAGGCGCGAAAGCCAGGGGAGCAAACGGG